rnacentral:rRNA from 1 species
UACGGGGGGGGCAAGCGUUGUUCGGAAUUACUGGGCGUAAAGGGCUCGUAGGCGGCCAACUCAGUCGGACGUGAAAUCCCUCGGCUUAACCGGGGAACUGCGUCUGAUACUGGAUGGCUUGAGAUUGGGAGAGGGAUGCGGAAUUCCAGGUGUAGCGGUGAAAUGCGUAGAUAUCUGGAGGAAUACCGGUGGCGAAGGCGGCAUCCUGGACCGGCAUUGACGCUGGACGGCGACGGCAAAGGCCA